rnacentral:rRNA from 1 species
AUUGAACGCUGGCGGAAUGCUUUACACAUGCAAGUCGAACGGCAGCACGGACUUCGGUCUGGUGGCGAGUGGCGAACGGGUGAGUAAUGUAUUGGAACGUGCCCAGUCGUGGGUGAUAACGUAGUGAAGAUUACGCUAAUACCGCAUACGAUCUAUGGAUGAAAGCGGGGGAUCGCAAGACCUCGCGCGAUUGGAGCGGCCGAUAUCGGAUUAGGUAGUUGGUGGGGUAAAGGCCCACCAAGCCAACGAUCUGUAGCUGGUCUGAGAGGACGACCAGCCACACUGGAACUGAGGCACGGUCCAGACUCCUACGGGAGGCAGCAGUGGGGAAUUUUGGACAAUGGGCGAAAGCCUGAUCCAGCCAUUCCGCGUGCAGGAUGAAGGCCCUCGGGUUGUAAACUGCUUUUGUACAGAACGAAAAGGUUUCUACUAAUACUAGGAGCUCAUGACGGUACUGUAAGAAUAAGCACCGGCUAACUACGUGCCAGCCGCCGCCGUAA